UUGGCACAUAAUUAAAUUAAUCUUGCACAAAAUAAAUUAUGAAAAGUUACGAAUGUGAAGAGGCUUGAAUAUGAAGAGUUAAUAAUGCAAAGAGACUUGAAGAUGAAAAGUUACACACAUGCAUGGAUAGUCAUAACUCUUAUAGUAUUUAAGUUAUGUAAAUGAAUAGUCACAACUCCUAGCAUUUAGUGAUAUAGAUGAAUAGUCACUUACAACUCCUAUAUAAAGAGUUGUAUGUGAUGAAGAAUAUUAUUGAGUGAGUGAAAUAAAAAUUAAUCAAAAGGGUGUUUUCUUUCUUCCAUAAAAA
rnacentral:lncRNA from 1 species